UUUUAAGUCAUAAUAUACUUGUGAACAGUUGCUCUCUUUUACAGCAAUGCUUCUUUAUCUAGGUUUUAACUUUAUCCCAUUAUUGUUGUCUGUUCAUAGUAGUGCUUAUAAUGAGUGGGUCUGUAUCCUGAUAUUUUUCUCCCCAGUCCCGUGAUAAAUGCAAUCCGGCACAAGCACGAUGGACAUGCAAUCCGGUGGACCUUUCAACAUUGUUGGACGGUGUCCUGCGUGCUAGAGCUGCCGUAAUCUGGUCUCCUAAACUAUGCCAUGAACAGAUGGAGACACUAAAUGAUCAACACUAGCAAACGUGACCUUACUAUACGAUGCACCUUGCAGGGACCCGGUUACAUGGAAAUAGUGCAAUAGUAGGGGCCAUAAAUAAAGAGGGUCCAAUUGCCACCCAAGUUGUUGGUUUUAAUAGGCUCUGCAAUGCUGUCUGGGCCUCCCUGUAUCAUGCGCGUGCUAUUCACGGCGCAGAGGAGGAGAUGCUGUGGUAAUAUGUGGUGGUCGGCCAGGAGAAACGGGCGUACUACAAGCAGGUGCAGGAUCUUCCAGCAGAUUAAUCUGUAGGCAAUAAUUCCCAUGGCCAAGGGGGCCAAGCCUCCUGUUGCUCCUCCAUCCAUCAUUUGGGCUUAGCUAAUAUUCAAAGGAUUGUUGGGGUGAUAAUGAAGAUGGCACUCGCCAUCGCUUUGGCCUGCAAGUUCUUGGCAAACGAUAAUGAUGAUCGGCGUGCAAUGCAUAGAUGGGCCACAGCAAGAAUGGAGUGUUGCUGUGUGCAUGAAGCAAAGCUUUAAUUUCUCAUAUCUUUUGCUGUCAAGUGGCUGAUGCAUAUUGAAUUUGAAGGCCCGCGCUACCAGCAAUUGCUGUGAUGCUUCCUCAGCAAAGUGGUCUUAUGCAGCCUCAUCAGUCGGCUUCAAAUUCAGGCAAGAAGUCAGUGGCUUGUUUCUAGUUUUCAGUUCUUUCGUAUGAAUAUCGCAUCUUGGCUACUUUCCGGAGAUAUGAAUUGGAAAGGAACUCAAUACUGAAAGAUCUGAAAAGGGGGGAUUUGCUAUCUAGUAAAGCAUAAUACCAGAUGCAAAAACUAACACACAAGGUUCAAAGCAUAUGAUUUUUCUAUACA